CUUGAUUAAACAAUAAAAUGCAAAUGAUGAUUCUUGUAUUAGGACUUUUCUAAGGCAUUAAUGAAAGAAAGGAACUUACUAGUUACUACUAAAUUUGAAAGCACCGUUAUAAUCUCUGGUACACGUAUUUCUCUACUGUACAGAAAUAAUAACUCAGAUAUUUAUUUGUUUGUUUAACACCUUAGAAGAAGAAGCUUAGAAGAAAAGAAAAGAAAAAAAAAUAAUUGGCAACAAAACAUGAUUUUGAGUUUCCUUCCACAGUUCUGCCUUUUCUAUACAAAGGUUGCUAUCUUUUUUCCAGAACAAGAGAAGGAAGAAAGAAGAGAGGCUCAUGAGCUACUAACAACCAUAGUUUCAUGGACAAACAAACACUUUAUCACUUAUCAGCAUUGAUUCCGAAUAUCCUAACCUUGUGCAUGUUGGGGAACUUCGCAACAACUAGCACAAUCACGGCAACCGUGUUGAAGAACAGCAUUGGAUGCUCAUAGUCAGUUGUGUGUGAGGCUAUCAAGUACCUAACCAAAGGAACAACUGUCAAAAACUUCCUGUUACGAGUGAGCUGCUUUCCAUUGUCGACCUGCUCCCACCAUGUCAAUCUAUUGUAGAUCCCCUGAUCAUCUGCAAAUGGAGUUCCUUUCUUCCAGUGGAAAAAGUGAUAUAAGAAUACAAGAAAAUGAGCGAGAUUAACAAUAGUCCAAGCAAUCCCAGGAGAACAACCAAAGACAGACAAAACCAUGAUCCAUGAAAAGAAGAGGAUGAGAAUAUAUGUUGUCCAAACACCAGGAUACGUAAACCAUUCUGUGUUCCUGUUCAGAUCCGCAGGUGGCACAGCUUUGACAUAGAGAUUUGCCAUCAAAUUUUGCAAAAUUUGGAAAAUCUAAAUACACCCUUUUGAUUGAAACGUUGAAUAGAAUAAAUCUAGAUAGAAAAGAUUGAAACUUGAUGAAUUUGAUUUUGAUGGGUUUGAUUUAGGGUUGUUUGUGAAUGAAAAUUCCAAAACCCAAAAACGUAACCCUUAUUUUGAUUUUGGAUUCAAUGAUAUUAGCGUGCGUGUGUGUCUGUGUGAAAAUGUGAAGGAAAUUGGGAAAUUGAAAAUU
rnacentral:lncRNA from 1 species